UGUGAUGGUUAUCAGAGGAGCGCCCAUCGCCUCCUCCCUCCACCCAGGUGGGGCUUGCAGGCUCAUUUGAAUUGUCAAUAAGUGGCCCUGGCACUGUAGAGUCAGCUAUGUGAAACCUGUAUGUCACACCCAGCCUGAUACUGGCUCCCCUCCCCCUGACGGAGAAAACUCAGCAGGUGCAACACUUUCCAAGCACACUUCUCUCCACAUUCACAGGGACGCUCCUUCCAGGUCUCCUCGUCUUCUCCAACCGGAUCCAGGAUCCUCUUUCCACCUGGAUCCAGGAUCCCCCUCCACUCAGAACCAGUAUCCCCCCACCCAGAACCAGUAUCCUCUUUCCACCCAAGUCCAGGAUCCCCUUUCCACCCAGAUCCAGGAUCCCCUUUCCACCCGGAUCCAGGAUCCCCUUUCCACCCAGAUCCAGUAUCCUCCCCCUCCACCCAGAUCCAGGAUCCCCUUUCCACCCGGAUCCAGGAUCCCCCUCCACCCAGAGUCUGCUGCUUAUGGAUCUAGACUAGUCCUGGAAUGAUCACAGUACAGGUGGUAUUAAUUUGAAACACUUUACUGCGUACAGAAGAUAAACUUUUGAAUCCUUCCACCUU